rnacentral:rRNA from 1 species
AGGACGAACGCUGGCGGCGUGCUUAACACAUGCAAGUCACGGGGGCCCGCAAGGGCAACCGGCGAACGGGUGCGUAACACGUGAGCAACCUGCCUUUGUGUGGGGGAUAGCCGGGCUAACGCCCGGGUAAUACCGCAUACGGUUCUCGAGGGGAGUCCCUUGGGAAAGAAACCUCCGGGGCACAGAGAGGGGCUCGCGGCCUAUCAGCUAGUUGGCGGGGUAAUGGCCCACCAAGGCGACGACGGGUAGCUGGUCUGAGAGGAUGGCCAGCCACAUUGGGACUGAGAGACGGCCCAGACUCCUACGGGAGGCAGCAGUGGGGAAUCUUGCGCAAUGGCCGAAAGGCUGACGCAGCGACGCCGCGUGUGGGAGGACGCCUUUCGGGGUGUAAACCACUGUUGCCCGGGACGAACAUCCCUUUUCGAGGGUACUGACGGUACCGGUGAGGAAGCGACCGGCUAACCGUCCGUGCCAGCGAACGCCGGC